rnacentral:rRNA from 1 species
UACGUAGGGGGCAAGCGUUGUUCGGAAUUACUGGGCGUAAAGCGCGCGCAGGCGGCUUGGCGCGCCCGACGUGAAAGCCCCCGGCUUAACCGGGGAGGGUCGUCGGGUACGGCCAGGCUUGAGGGCGGGAGAGGGUGGUGGAAUUCCCGGUGUAGUGGUGAAAUGCGUAGAGAUCGGGAGGAACACCUGUGGCGAAGGCGGCCACCUGGGCCGACCCUGACGCUCAUGCACGAAAGCGUGGGGAGCAAACAGG